rnacentral:tRNA from 1 species
GAGGCCUUGGCUUAAGGUUAAAGUGUCUGAAUUGCAGUCAGAAGAUGUAGUGUGAAUACAGGCCUUC